GCGCCAGACUCCUACGGGAGGCAGCAGUGGGGGAUAUUGCACAAUGGGGGAAACCCUGAUGCAGCGACGCCGCGUGUGGGAAGACGGUCCUCUGGAUUGUAAACCACUGUCCCCAGGGACGAAGAUGACGGUACCUGGGGAGGAAGCUCCGGCUAACUACGUGCCAGCAGCCGCGGUAAUACGUAGGGAGCAAGCGUUGUCCGGAAUUACUGGGUGUAAAGGGAGCGCAGGCGGCGCGCCAAGUCUGAUGUGAAACCCCGGGGCUCAACCCCGGGCAUGCAUUGGAAACUGGCGGGCUGGAGUGCCGGAGAGGUAAGCGGAAUUCCUAGUGUAGCGGUGAAAUGCGUAGAUAUUAGGAGGAACACCAGUGGCGAAGGCGGCUUACUGGACGGCAACUGACGCUGAGGCUCGAAAGCGUGGGGAGCAAACAGGAUUAGAUACCCCUGUACA
rnacentral:rRNA from 1 species